AUCUUUGCGCUUGGGCAAUGACGCAGCCAGUGAGGUACUAACUGAGGCUCGUCUCUUGCUGGAUUAUUUUUUUUGUCAAAGGUCUAUUGCUGGUUGAAAACUAUUUCCAAAAUCAUGUUUGUAUUCUGAUUAAAAAAAAAAUCAU